UCUAGUUUCUCGUUUUUUUAUAAAGAUUAGACCGUUGGUUUUCCAGUUUGAAUGGUUUUAAACUAGUAAUUUGGGGGCCUUUUAUAGCUUGUUGUUCGGUGUGAGCCAAGGCUCCGUGUUGAAGGCCGUACAUUGACCUAUAAUGGUUUACUUUUAUAAAUUGUUAUUUGGAUGGAUGGUUGUCUCAUUGGCACUCAUUCCACAUC
rnacentral:lncRNA from 1 species